rnacentral:snRNA from 1 species
GAACAUGAGGGCCAUCUGGUUGCAACCUCUGUCACCCCAUUCAUAGCGAGAGUUGAUUCUGCUGAUCUGGCUGGCUAGGUGGGUGUCCCCUUCCUUCCUCAAUGCUUCAUGUGCGUCCCUCUCGAAGCUGCGAGCUGGGUCGAAGAGGACGACCACCCUUGCUGGAGCAGGACCAUUCCUUGGUCAAGGGUACAGGAGUAGCUGCGCUCUCCUGCUAGAACCUCCAAACAGGAAAAACUUCUAGACUUUUAGUAAUGGAAAAGCUGCAGAAAGAUCUGAAGGUCUGCCUGCCUUC